UAUACCUCUAACAACAAAACAUAGACACGAGACUUUUCUUACAGUUUAGAAUUUCUGUUUUUGCGUAGUUUAAAAAUGGGACGUCGCUCCUCGGACACAGAAGAAGAGAACAGAAGCAGAAGGAAGAAGAAACACCGCAGGCGUUCAUCUUCAAGUAGCUCCUCAGACAGCAGAACGUACAGCCGUAAAAAAUCUGGGAGGAAGUCGAGGUCAAGGUCGCGGUCUCGAGAUCUCCAGUCUCGUUCACAUUCUUAUGAGAAAAGACGCAGACACAGAUCGAGCAGUAGCUCUUCGUACGGUUCUAGAAGAAAACGCAGUCGUAGCCGAUCAAGGGGCAGAGGCAAAUCCUACAGGUCUCAAAGAUCGAGAUCAAAAAGUAGAACAAGAAGAUCACGAUCAAGACCUCGUCAACGUUCUUAUAGUCGAAGUAGUGAAAGAUCCAGUCAUAGGAGAACUCAUAGCGGGUCUCGUGAAAGAGAGCGGCGUAAAGGCAGAGAGAAAGAAAAAAUAAAAGAGAAGGGCAAAGGAAAAGAAAAGGAGAUAUAUGGCACGAAGCAUGGUAUGAAGAAGAAAGUCUUCAUGGACACAAAAAAUGACUGUCAGGUGUACCUUUGGGUGUGACGUACCACGGAAUCUGUUGUGGAUGACUCUCC
rnacentral:lncRNA from 1 species